GGAGUUGUGGCUCAGUGGUAGAGCACUUGCCUAGCAUGCAUGAGGCACUGGGUUCAAUCCUCAACACUA
rnacentral:tRNA from 1 species